rnacentral:tRNA from 1 species
CCGCCGGUAGCGUAGUGGUUAUCGCAGCAGACCGGUAUUCUGCAGGUCGUGGGUUCGGAUCCCACCCGGCUGG